rnacentral:rRNA from 1 species
UUGUUGGUGGGGUAAUGGCCUACCAAGCCUCAGACGGGUAGCGGGUGUGAGAGCAUGACCCGCCGCAUCGGGACUGAGACACUGCCCGGACUCCUACGGGAGGCUGCAGUAACGAAUCUUCCGCAAUGCACGCAAGUGUGACGGAGCAAUGCCGCGUGUGGGAUGAAGCAGCUUCGCUGUGUAAACCACUGUCAGGGUCUAGGAAGAUCUGACCCGACCCAGAGGAAGGGCCGGCUAAUCUCGUGCCAGCAGCCGCGGUAAUACGAGAGGCCCGAGCGUUAAUCGGAAUCACUGGGCUUCAAGCGUGCGCAGGCGGGUUUGUAAGCCUCUCGUGAAAUCCCUCUGGUCAACCGGGGAACUGCGGGGUGAACUGCAAGCCUUGAGGCAGGUAUGGGUCAUCGGAACGUUCGGUGGAGCGGUGAAAUGCCAUAGAUAUCGAACGGAACGCCCAACGUGAAGACCGAUGACUGGGCCUGAUCUGACGCUCAUGCACGAAAGCGUGGGGAUCAAACAGGAUUAGAUACCCUGGUAGUCCACGCCGUAAACGAUGCGCACUGGGUCGGUGCAGUUUAGACGCUGUGCCGGCCGUAGAGAAAUUCUUAAGUGCGCCGGCUGAGGAGUACGGUCGCAAGGCUAUAACUCACAGGAAUUGACGGGGGCUCACACAAGCGGUGGAGCAUGUUGCUUUAUUCGAAAGCAACGCGAAGAACCUUACCUGGGGCUUUGACAUGCCCGGAUUAGCUCCUUGGAACCUGUGUGACGCCCUCGGGUGGAACGUGCACAGGUGCUGCAUGGCUGUCGUCAGCUCGUGCUGUGAAGUG